rnacentral:lncRNA from 1 species
AUGCUGUCGCCAGGCUGCAGCCGCCUGAGGGGACUCGUCCGGGGCCCCGCCCUCAGAGCUCACACCCGCCGUGCGCUCUCGCCCCGGGGCCGCCCCGCCGACCUCCCGCGCGGCUCUGCGCGCACAGGCCGGACGCUCGGAGCCGGCGCCGGGCCGCCCUGCUCGGCCUCCUGGGCGCAGCGGCGCCUCUGGACCGAGCACGCGCACCAGCGGCCUCCGCUCAGGCUCCGUGCCCGCGCACGCGCCCUCGCGUCGCGCUCCUGGCUGAGAGACCUGCGCUCGGGCUGGGCUCCGGGCGGUUCUCGCGUUGUCGUUCCACCGGGACUUCCGCGCUUCGGUGGCCUUUCGGACGAGCCGCCGCGCCCAGAGAUGUUCAGGUUGGAGCGACACUUCCCAGACGGCAGCGGUCACGCCAGCUCUUUGGCUUCCAUUCCGUUUUCGCGCGGUUCUCCCUCUUCGCAAGCUCUAGAUUCCCUUUGUUCUUUCCCAGUAGAGGAAUCCCAAGGAGGACUGAUCAGUUUUGGCAGGUGCAAAACCAUGGUAUGUGUAAGUUAGUGUUUCCUUCUCGUUAAAAUAGUGAGACGUAAAUGUUUUCAUUAAUUGUUCUGAAGAGUCCUACCCAAAGAACCCCAUGUGAUUAUGUGCUUCCCAGUUCCUCCCAUUCCAGUGAACUGAACAAUGGUUCCAAAUAACCUAGUCCUCCUUAUGUGGCCCAGUCUUUUCCAGCCAGUGUUUAUGCAUUCACUGACCAGGUUAUUCUCUCCUACGUGCUCAACUUAGUCAUAUUAAGAGCUAUAAUGGAGGAAUGAAGAAAUUAAGUCCUGUCAAGAAAUGAUUUGAGCUUCCCGUGUCAGGACUGUAGUUGGAUGAGAGAUGGAGAUCCCAUCUGGCCAAGCAGGGAAAGACCCUGACAUUCUCACAGACAUGAGUUUUCUAGAUACACAUGAUAAAACCCAGCAAUGAACGGUCUCUGGAGGCUAAGAUCCAAUGCACUGUGAGGUUUUUGGAAUUGAAUAGCAAUAUGAUUUAGGACUUGAAAAUAUAUGGAUCAUGGUCCUUUGUAAGGGAUUCCUGAAUGAGAAAUAUGACUAUUUUAUUGCUGACUGGGUUGCGAUGAAAUUGAAUGACUUUGAUAUAAUUCUGGAUCAUCCUACAUUAGUAUCCUCUAACUCAUGAACCAGAAAAGUUCUCAGUGAGGGAUUGUUAGUGUCCAUAAAAGAGAAUAAAAUCAUAAGUCUUAAAUUAACA